CGUAGGUGGCAAGCGUUGUCCGGAUUUACUGGGCGUAAAGGGCGUGCAGGCGGUCUGUUAAGUCUAGGGUGAAAGCUCCCGGCUCAACUGGGAGAGGUCCUUGGAUACUGGCGGACUUGAGGGAGGCAGAGGAGAAUAGAAUUCCCGGUGUAGUGGUGAUAUGCGUAGAUAUCGGGAGGAAUACCAGUGGCGAAGGCGGUUCUCUGGGCCUUACCUGACGCUGAGACGCGAAAGCGUGGGGAGCGAACCGGAUUAGAUACCCGGGUAGUCCACGCCGUAAACUAUGGACACUAGGUGUGGGGGGUAUCGACCCCCUCCGUGCCGAAGCUAACGCAAUAAGUGUCCCGCCUGGGGAGUACGGCCGCAAGGCUA
rnacentral:rRNA from 1 species